UACGAAGGGGGCUAGGCGUUGUUCGGAUUUUACUGGGCGUAAAGGGCGCGUAGGCGGACAGUUUAGUCAGAGGUGAAAGCCCAGGGCUCAACCUUGGAAUUGCCUUUGAUACUGGCUGUCUUGAGUACGGGAGAGGUGAGUGGAACUCCGAGUGUAGAGGUGAAAUUCGUAGAUAUUCGGAAGAACACCAGUGGCGAAGGCGACUCACUGGCCCGUUACUGACGCUGAGGCGCGAAAGCGUGGGGAGCAAACAGG
rnacentral:rRNA from 1 species